GUAGAGGUUGGCUGGUUUCAGAUUUGUUGAUAACACGGCACGGCAGGAUGAACGCAGUUCAGUUAGAGCUAUUAAGAAGCGCGUGAAAAAAUACAGACUGAAGGAACUAAAGCGAGAGCUGGAGGCUUUGGGGGUUAACGUUGAUGGACAUGGACAAGACAUAGAUGAAAAUAAAAAUAAAAACAAAAAGACCAAAAAGGAACUCCAACAGCUCCUUAUAAAGGAGCUGAAGCAGGUUGAGGACAGCAGAACUGGCCUGGACAAGAGGGCAGAAGGAUUAACUCUGCCCAUGGAGAUCCCAGAAGAGGUCCUAAAUGUUCUUCAUGACCUUGAUGCAUUCUUGGACAAAGAGUUGGAAGACUGUGAGAGAAAUGACGAUGUGAAAGCUGUGCUUGACAGUCUCCUAGAUAAAGUGGACUUCGAAUCUGGCUUCAGAAGGAAUGAAAGACAAAGGAGAAAAGGAGAGAGUCUUGAGGCCAGAGGUUGGAGACAGGAAGGAGGAGGCCAAGCGGGAAGCCAAUUUCUGGAGUGCCAGAGAGAACCACAAAGGCUCCGUCCCCACGAUUCAUUUUUCAAUAUAAUUCUGCAACCUAAUGACUCAUA